rnacentral:rRNA from 1 species
UGCGUAGGUGGCGAGCGUUGUCCGGAAUUACUGGGUGUAAAGCGCGUGUAGGCGGCAGGCCAAGUCGGUGGUGAAAGCGCCCGGCUCAACCUCGGAACUGCCUUCGAUACUGCGGGUCUCGAGUCCGGGAGAGGUGAGUGGAAUUCCUAGUGUAGAGGUGAAAUUCGUAGAUAUUAGGAAGAACACCAGUGGCGAAGGCGGCUCACUGGCCCGGUACUGACGCUGAGGCGCGAAAGCGUGGGGAGCAAACAGG